UGGGGAAUCUUGCACAAUGGGGGAAACCCUGAUGCAGCGACGCCGCGUGAGCGAUGAAGGUUUUCGAAUCGUAAAGCUCUGUCCUAUGGGAAGAUAAUGACGGUACCAUAGGAGGAAGCCCCGGCUAACUACGUGCCAGCAGCCGCGGUAAUACGUAGGGGGCGAUCGUUGUCCGGAAUUACUGGGCGUAAAGGGUUCGCAGGCGGCAUGACAAGUCCGAUGUAAAAGGCGAAAGCUCAACUUUCGUAAGCAUCGGAAACUGUCAAGCUUGAGUGAAGGAGAGGCAAGUGGAAUUCCUAGUGUAGCGGUGGAAUGCGUAGAUAUUAGGAGGAAUACCGGUGGCGAAGGCGACUUGCUGGACUUCAACUGACGCUGAGGAACGAAAGCGUGGGUAGCAAACAGG
rnacentral:rRNA from 1 species